rnacentral:rRNA from 1 species
AUGCCGCCAGGAGGAGAAGGGGAAGGAGAAGGAGAAGGCGAGAAUGGCAUCACGGUGCAGAGCCACCCACCGGCGACCGUCCGCCGCGACGAGGACGCCCCGCCCCAUUCUACGCCGCCGCUCCCCGACGUUCCUCCGGUAGCUUCCAAGGACAAGAAGCAGAAUCUGGAGCCCGUGCCGAACCUUCCCGAGGGCGCCCUCGUCGAGAUCCUUUCGCGGGUGCCCUACAGGUCGCUCUGCCGCUUCAAGUGCGUGUCCAAGCCGUGGCUCGCCCUCUGCUCCGCCCCCGACAUCCGCAAGAGGUCGCCGCAGACCCUCUCCGGCUUCUUCUACUACCAAGGUGAACGCCUUUGUUUCCGCAAUUUGUCUGGGAGAGGUCCGCCUCUGGUCGACCCUUCCCUGCCUUUCUUGCGCCGCAGCUACAAAAACGUUCAUGUCGAACAAUUCUGCGAUAGUCUUCUCCUCUGCAGCUGCUGGAAUUCGUGUUUACCAAGCAAACGCGAUUAUGUUGUGUGCAAUCCUGCCACUCGAGAGUGGAUUGUGCUGCCUCCUCUAGUAUUUUUGGGUCAGGAUCAAGAGGUCAGCCACAACUUCCCAUCAAGUGUUUACUUGGGCUUCGAAGCCGCUGUUCCAUCCCGCUUUCUGGUGUUUGCAACACCUUACAAUGCUGACCGCCUUCCUGGACAAAUGGCGAUCUACUCGUCAGAAACUGGACAGUGGACUUAUGUGCAGACUAAGUGGGCAUCCGAAUCUCUCCUGGAUCUUAAUAGACGCAUACGUGUCUUCUUGAAUGGCACUAUGCAUUUGACUACCCGUUAUAACUAUAAUACAAUGCUCACUGUUGACGCGGAGGGCAAAGUUUGGAGGGAGAUUCCAAUGCCAUCACCAAAGAAAUCUGUUAUUUUUUGCACUGGGCAGUCUCAAGGACGCUUGUAUGCGUGGCAGAUGGAUUAUCGUUAUGGUUGCCAACUCUAUAUUUGGGUUCUCGAGGAUUAUGGUACUGGAAAGUGGGCCCUGAAGCAUACUGUCAAUGUUUUGGAACUGUUUGGAAGGCAUUGUCGCAAAGAUGGUCAAUAUUAUGAGAUGUUUGCAUUUCAUCCAGAUUGCAAUGUGAUUUUCCUUACCGACGUGAAGGAGAUGACAGUGUCAUACGACAUGGAUAGUCAGAAAGUGAGUGUUAUCUGCACUAAAGGCAUGAAGGGUAUGCCUUAUACUCCCUGUUUUGCAGAACUGCAAUCAGCUAGUCAUUGA